rnacentral:rRNA from 1 species
AGAUUGAACGCUGGCGGCAUGCCUAACACAUGCAAGUCGAACGGGAGUAGCAAUACUCUAGUGGCGGACGGGUGAGGAAUACGUAGGAAUUUGCCCUUAAGUGGGGGAUAACCCGGGGAAACCCGGAUUAAUACCGCAUGACCUCGAAAGAGCAAAGUGGGGGAUCGCAAGACCUCACGCUUUUGGAGAAGCCUACGUCGGAUUAGCUAGUUGGUGAGGUAAUGGCUCACCAAGGCGACGAUCCGUAACUGGUCUGAGAGGAUGAUCAGUCACACCGGAACUGAGACACGGUCCGGACUCCUACGGGAGGCAGCAGUGGGGAAUAUUGGACAAUGGGCGCAAGCCUGAUCCAGCAAUGCCGCGUGUGUGAAGAAGGCCUUCGGUUGUAAAGCACUUAAGUUGGGAAGAAAAACUACGACGUCUAACAACAGUAGAGUCUUGACGGUACCGACAGAAUAAGACACCGGCUAACUCUAGUGCCAGCAGCCGC